GGGAGCUCUCCCAUAUGGUCGACCUGCAGGCGGCCGCGAAUUCACUAGUGAUUAGAGUUUGAUCAUGGCUCAGAACGAACGCUUUCGGUAUGCUUAACACAUGCAAGUCGAACGGAUUUAUUUAGAGCUUGCUUUAAAUAAAUUAGUGGCAGACGGGUGAGUAACACGUGGGAAUCUGCCCAUCAGUACGGAAUAACAUUUAGAAAUAAUUGCUAAUACCGUAUAUUCUCUUUGGAGGAAAGAUUUAUCGCUGAUGGAUGAGCCCGCGCCAGAUUAGGUAGUUGGUAGGGUAAUGGCCUACCAAGCCAAUGAUCUGUAGCUGGUUUGAGAGAAUGAUCAGCCACACUGGGACUGAGACACGGCCCAGACUCCUACGGGAGGCAGCAGUGGGGAAUAUUGGACAAUGGGCGAAAGCCUGAUCCAGCAAUACCGAGUGGGUGAUGAAGGCCUUAGGGUUGUAAAGCCCUUUUCAGCAGGGAAGAUAAUGACGGUACCUGACCAAGAAAGCCCCGGCUAACUCCGUGCCAGCAGCCGCGGUAAUACGAAUCGAAUUCCCGCGGCCG
rnacentral:rRNA from 1 species